ensembl:lncRNA
AUUUAUACAAUGGCAAAGCAUAAUGUAAGUCUCUUGAUAACAAUUUUGUUAUCACUGAUUGUCUUCAUCAUUACUAUGGUUUUGACUGCUCUGGCAUCCACAGGGGCAUCUCCUUUUUUACAUCCGACUAGUAAUGUUUCCAACGAGUUCACAACACAAGUCACACCUAGUGGCUGGACUUUUGCUAUCUGGGGGAUUAUUUACGCGUUUAUGGCUUCAGUUUUAGUCUAUGUCCUCUCUGGGGUGUUUAGAAAGAAUGCCUAUGGUUAUGUGUACUGCAGUCCACCGGUUCUACCACGUGGAUUCUUUGUGAUGUUGAGUUUAAACCUGAGCUUAAAUGUGGCAUGGCUCUUUUUGUGGGACAGGAGUUUGAUGAUUCCUGCAGUGAUUUUUCUCAUCUUCAUUGCCUUAACCAAUUACGCAGUCAUAGCCUUUUCCUGUCUUGGUCUAAAUGCUUAUGGAGCUUGGCUAUACAAGAACCACAAAGUUGAUCUGUAUCUCAUCCGUGUGUUGGUUCAGAAUGGGAUUGCCAUAUAUGCAACAUGGACAACUAUUGCAUCUCUAGUCAACUUGAAUAUUGUACUGACCACUGAGGCAAAUAUGUCCCAAACUGAUGCUUCAACUACAGUUCUAUCUCUUCUGGUAGUGGUAAUAGCUACAUGGUUUGUCCUUGAAAACUGGUUAUUGGAGAAGCAUGUCCGUUACAUCCUGUCCAUUUACCCAGCUGUGAUCUGGGCACUGACUGGGGUUUUCACUAACAACUAUGAUGCCUCUGCUCCAUCUCGGAAUAACAUAUUUAUUGCUGCUCUUCUCGGUGUGGGCUGCUGUCUGUGUGUAACUCGGGUAGGCCUGGUUGUCUGGAGACACCUCAAGCAUCCCCUUUACAAAAAUGCAGAUGAAGAAGACAUGUCCCCCAUGGAGAUCGCAAAGAAGCAGAAAAGGAUAUUUAAGUGAAAAUAUUCAUUAUAGUGUUAUUGUUUUUGUAAAGUGCUUUUUAGAUUUGUGGCUUCACCUGCUUCUUAAACAUGGCAGUGAUUUGCAUAGUGAUUCAGCAGGUGUAAUCUAUUUCUUUUACUGCAAACUGA